rnacentral:rRNA from 1 species
AACGAACGCUGGCGGCAUGCCUAACACAUGCAAGUCGAACGAGACCUUCGGGUCUAGUGGCGCACGGGUGCGUAACGCGUGGGAACCUGCCUUUAGGUUCGGAAUAACUCAGAGAAAUUUGAGCUAAUACCGGAUGAUGUCUUCGGACCAAAGAUUUAUCGCCUUUAGAUGGGCCCGCGUUGGAUUAGCUAGUUGGUGGGGUAAAGGCCUACCAAGGCGACGAUCCAUAGCUGGUCUGAGAGGAUGAUCAGCCACACUGGGACUGAGACACGGCCCAGACUCCUACGCGAGGCAGCAGUGGGGAAUAUUGGACAAUGGGCGAAAGCCUGAUCCAGCAAUGCCGCGUGAGUGAUGAAGGCCUUAGGGUUGUAAAGCUCUUUUACCCGAGAUGAUAAUGACAGUAUCGGGAGAAUAAGCUCCGGCUAACUCCGUG